CGUAACAAGGUUUCCGUAGGUGAACCUGCGGAAGGAUCAUAGUUAUGGAGAGGUCAGCCCUCGCGGGCCCCUCGUCUCACUCUGGAUGCAAUGCGCCCCUCGCCGGGCGCUAGUCUCGGUCCUUUCGGACCUUGACAAAACUUUUGUAAUCCACAUCAUGCCUAUUGCCAAUACAAGAGAUUAUUACAACCAGUAGCGUUGGAUCCCUUGGCACGUCGUUCGAUGAAGACCGUUGCAAAAUGCGAUAAGUGGUGUGAUAUGCAAGUCCAAAACUUAUACGUGAACCAUCGAAUUGUUGAACGCACUGCAUCGAGCCUUACCCAGGAACGAUACGCCCCAUUGAGCGUCAUUAUGUCUUCGCGACCUCGAGUCUUUUUCUACUUGGGAGUCCGGGUUCGGGAUUCACGGCCGGUCGUCGGUCGCGCUUCCUUAGAUGAAUUGGCUGCGCCGGAGCGAGCGGUGACCUUGUCAUGAAUGUCGAGGUGAGCCGUCUUUCGGUCCGUGCGCAAGAUCCCCCUCUCUGUUGGGCGGGAUCGACUUGCGCGGCUUGCGCCGUCGCUACUUCUACACAUGACCUCACGG
rnacentral:rRNA from 1 species